ACACUGGGCACGUACACACACGCUGGGCACAUAUACACACAGGUGAAGGGGCAAGUAAGUUGUAGGAAGACUUAAGGAAAAUGCUGAGAACAUAACUCUACACGGAGUGAACAUACCCACAAAUAAGAGAACAAUACCCACAAAUAAGAGAACAAAUAAGAGAACAAUACCCACAAAUAAGAGAACAAUACCCACAAAUAAGAGAACAAUACCCACAAAUAAGAGAACAAUACCCACAAAUAAGAGAACAAUACCCACAAAUAAGAGAACAAAUAAGAGAACAAUACCCACAAAUAAGAGAACAAUACCCACAAAUAAGAGAACAAUACCCACAAAUAAGAGAACAAUACCCACAAAUAAGAGAACAAUACCCACAAAUAAGAGAACAAUACCCACAAAUAAGAGAACAAUACCCACAAAUAAGAGAACAAUACCCACAAAUAAGAGAACAAUACCCACAAAUAAGAGAACAAAUAAGAGAACAAUACCCACAAAUAAGAGAACAAUACCCACAAAUAAGAGAACAAAUAAGAGAACAAUACCCACAAAUAAGAGAACAAUACCCACAAAUAAGAGAACAAAUAAGAGAACAAUACCCACAAAUAAGAGAACAAAGAAUAAUAAAGUUGAAAAAGAAUAUAAAUAACUAAGAGCUCUGAAGCCUCUCUUAAAAAAAAGUCAAAAUAGUGCCGGAAAACAAUAAAGAAUAGAACGUUGAUGAACACUUUGAAGAAGAAGAAGAAGCGGGAAGAGGAGGAAUGAACAACUUGAACAGAAGGAAGAACGGACGGAGAGAACAAGAGAACGGCACCAUUGGCAGGCAGUUGGCACGGGUGCCAGUUCGCCAGCUCAGGAGACCACGCGCACAAAAAGAUCUGGCACCAAGCUGUCCCCAAGAGUGGACAUCGCCCGUGGUACCUGCUUGAUGGGGUUCUGGGAGUUCUUCCCAAAUGGACUGAGGUGUUUUCCCAGUCGGUCAAGCCGUCGUCCCAAAGUCGGUCAAGCCGUCGUCUCCCACAGUCGGUCAAGCCGUCGUCCCCCACAGUCGG